rnacentral:misc_RNA from 1 species
UGCUCGCUGGAUUUCCGUGUGGAGUUUUGAAAGAAUUCGGGAUUCCUACGCCAGCACAAAUUUUCAUAGUUGUGGUGCUAUUUGCGUUCGUCGGAGUCGCCAUACUCGGCAUUUUCGAAAACCGGUUCUACAUCAUGUUUGCUGAAAAUACUUUCUGGAAAUUUGUAAGAGUUUCCUAUUUCGCUUUCAACUACAUUCUGGCAUUAUUAUUUUUUAUUCCUCCAUAUCUGCGUAUACCGGAUCAAGACCUGGCGUUACAGCAAAUUUACAAGGAGCUCCCAUCAAAUCUCCCAAAUUGGAUUACAAAAGCAGACGUAUUUGUUCUAGCAACCGACAUAACCUAUUCAUUAUUAUCAGUGUUCCUCGUUGUGAUAUUCAUUAUAUCAGAGAUCUUGUUCUUCAUAUUCUACGUCAAAAUUCAAAUGAAAUGCUUGGCUAGAACGUUGAAACUGUCCAAGACCACUUUGAAGAUGCAACAGAAGUUUCUGGAUGCCAUUCAUUUUCAGAUGUACACCCCAUUGAUAAUUCUGGUAAUCCCAUUAGCAUACAUCGGAUACGCUAUAUAUUUUGAUUUCUACAACCAAGCUGCAAACAACAUUUCUUUCAUAAUUAUCACUUUUCAUGGGCUUGCCUCGACUAUUAUUAUGCUACUGAUACACAAACCGUAUCGGGAAGUUUGUGUGAACAUGUUCUGCUUCAAAAUUCUGAACAAAACUACUCCAGCCGGACAUACGAGGCUCAAUAGUCUUGUGACAAUUUUGCCGGUGCGAUCAAGAAUUUAA